UACGGGGGGGGCAAGCGUUGUUCGGAAUUACUGGGCGUAAAGGGCGCGUAGGCGGCCUGCUAAGUCGGACGUGAAAUCCCUCGGCUCAACCGGGGAACUGCGUCCGAUACUGGCGAGGCUUGAAUCCGGGAGAGGGAUGUGGAAUUCCAGGUGUAGCGGUGAAAUGCGUAGAUAUCUGGAGGAACACCGGUGGCGAAGGCGGCAUCCUGGACCGGUAUUGACGCUGAUGCGCGAAAGCCAGGGGAGCAAACGGG
rnacentral:rRNA from 1 species